GUCACAAAUGAUCUGCAGGACAAAUGCAGCUGCUUUCAGUCCAGUUUAUUGGGCUGAAAGAAAAAUGUGUCUAGACUGGACGGAGGCAGUAAGGUGAGUAUGCUUGCCGAUUUCAUCAGUUUUCCUUAGAGGCUUGAAGUGUUCAGGGUGCUGAAGAUGAGCCUGACAAACUGUGACAUGCACUCAAAUAUGUAUUAAUUAUUUUUCCUACCAUCUAAGGUCUUUUCAAGAAAUGCAGUAUGUUUAAUUAGUAAUGCCUGGAUUGCAAGACCUGUGUAACGUGAGGAAACUUCAUCCACAAUUAAUGAUGCUCUGCCCUUGACGAGGAAAUCAUAACGAGUGCCUUCGUUUUUCAGGUUGUGGCUUUUCACCCCGAACAAAUCAGAACAUCAGACUGAAGAGUUUCUCUUCACAAGACAAUUGAUGGACUGGAGUUGUGCGGAUUGUGGCGGGACUUUCUCAUUCACACAAGCAUUUGAUUGGACAAUAAACUGUGUGGUGCAACAUGAGUCAUCAAAAUUUCUAUUCCCAUUCCAGAAAAGAAAAUGCAUAUAUCUGCUGAAAAUGAAUGUUCAUAGAUAAACGUUUAGACAUAUGCUAGCAUUUAGAUGG
ensembl:lncRNA